rnacentral:rRNA from 1 species
UGAACGCUGGCGGCGUGCCUAAUACAUGCAAGUCGAGCGAACGGACGCGAAGCUUGCUUUUCUGAUGUUAGCGGCGGACGGGUGAGUAACACGUGGAUAACCUACCUAUAAGACUGGGAUAACUUCGGGAAACCGGAGCUAAUACCGGAUAAUAUUUUGAACCGCAUGGUUCAAAAGUGAAAGACGGUCUUGCUGUCACUUAUAGAUGGAUCCGCUCUGCAUUAGCUAGUUGGUAAGGUAACGGCUUACCAAGGCAACGAUGCAUAGCCGACCUGAGAGGGUGAUCGGCCACACUGGAACUGAGACACGGUCCAGACUCCUACGGGAGGCAGCAGUAGGGAAUCUUCCGCAAUGGGCGAAAGCCUGACGGAGCAACGCCGCGUGAGUGAUGAAGGUCUUCGGAUCGUAAAACUCUGUUAUUAGGGAAGAACAUAUGUGUAAGUAACUGUGCACAUCUUGACGGUACCUAAUCAGAAAGCCACGGCUAACUACGUG